CUACGGAGGGUGCGAGCGUUAAUCGGAAUUACUGGGCGUAAAGCGUACGUAGGCGGUUGGUUAAGUUAGAUGUGAAAGCCCCGGGCUUAACCUGGGAACUGCAUUUAAAACUGGCGAACUCGAGUUGAGUAGAGGGGAGUGGAAUUUCAGGUGUAGCGGUGAAAUGCGUAGAGAUCUGAAGGAACACCAGUGGCGAAGGCGACUCCCUGGACUCGAACUGACGCUGAGGUACGAAAGCGUGGGUAGCAAACGGGAUUAGAAACCCCAGUAGUCC
rnacentral:rRNA from 1 species